rnacentral:tRNA from 1 species
GCCCAGAUAGCUCAGUCGGUAGAGCAGGGGACUGAAAAUCCCCGUGUCGGUGGUUCGAUUCUGCCUCUGGGCACCA